rnacentral:rRNA from 1 species
UACGAAGGGGCUAGCGUUGUUCGGAAUCACUGGGCGUAAAGCGCACGCAGGCGGAUUGAUAAGUCAGGGGUGAAAUCCCGGAGCUCAACUUCGGAAUUGCCUUUGAUACUGUCUGUCUUGAGUCCGGGAGAGGUGAGUGGAAUUCCUAGUGUAGAGGUGAAAUUCGUAGAUAUUAGGAAGAACACCAGUGGCGAAGGCGGCUCACUGGGCCCGGUACUCGACGCUGAGGCGCGAAAGC